rnacentral:rRNA from 1 species
UCCGCCUCAACCAAGUGGGAUUACCCGCUGAACUUAA